UACGAAGGGGGCUAGCGUUGCUCGGAAUCACUGGGCGUAAAGCGCACGUAGGCGGAUUGCUAAGUCAGGGGUGAAAUCCUGGAGCUCAACUCCAGAACUGCCUUUGAUACUGGCGACCUUGAGUCCGGGAGAGGUGAGUGGAACUGCGAGUGUAGAGGUGAAAUUCGUAGAUAUUCGGAAGAACACCAGUGGCGAAGGCGGCUCACUGGACUGGUAUUGACGCUGAGGUGCGAAAGCGUGGGGAGCAAACGGG
rnacentral:rRNA from 1 species